rnacentral:lncRNA from 1 species
UUCUCUUCCAAAGCUGGUGGACACUGUGGAAAUGGAUUUUAAAAUUCAAAGAAUAAUACAUAAAAGAUAGGGAUUCUCAAGAACCCUUUCAUCAAGGUAGCAGUUAAAGGGAUAUCUCCACCUAAAGAAAUUAGAAAUCACCAGGUAAGCUACUAUAUUAGCACAAUGGCCAAAACAAACAACACAAGGGCGUCAUCCUUCACACACAUAUAAACACUCAAUCUCCCGCGAAGUUUUUUAUGGUGUAUUUGGAGGAGAUUCUCAUGUUAGGGGAAUCGAUGGAUUCAUAUACCAAACCUUUAGUUUUGUUUUCCCUUUUGCUCUUCAUCAAUAUUAAAAAGAAAGAAAUAAAUAGCAAAAUACAAUGAAGAAUCAGACAAGUUGAAGCGGGAAAUCACAAUAAAAACAGUUUCCACAAAUCUGAGCAUGCAUACAGACAGACAUCUCUAUUUAGAUGAUUAAAGUAGACCCUGGGGUCAGUAAAAAGUUCCAACAUUAAUCAGAUAAUAAAAUCAGUUGCAGAUCACAGGUUCUACAACUAGUUCAAAUGAAAGAAGGAACAAAAGGGAUUAAAAAGAAUGUCAAUUUCAUGGAAUAACUAAUUACAAAAAGAUGAACUAAUGGUAUUAUAAAUAUUCUUCUUUUCAUUCUCAUUUGCUUCUUCCUUUUCCAUUCGUUUUCCAACCUGUUAUUUUGGAUUAUUGUGAGUGAAUACUCCCAAUUUUCCAAACAAACAUGCUCCAUUUCUUAAUUUCUUAAGUAUGAAAUAAGAAAAAGUCCUAUAUGAUAAUAAAGGCAUUAGACAUAUUCAUAAGCUGAGCAUAUUACUAACAUAAUAUAUACAGCAGCCUCCCAUAUAAUAACGGUAAUUUGGUGCAUUUUCCCCUAUUAUUCGACAUCAAAAGACAAGUAGAAUAUAAUAGUUUCAAACACAAGGAGAGGGAAAAAGCCAACUUACAAGCCGGGAAAAAACAUGUAACAUACUAGAAAAUAGAUUCAAGCUUUGAGAAGAAUGAACAAACAAAGUAAAUAAAUCCUUACUAAUCAUGCUAAACAUGAAACAUCGCAAUACAAUUCAUUUUAAAAAAUCUGAGAUUAAUUACUAAUUAACUGGAAUACCAACAAACGACGAAACUAUCCAUAUAAUAAUGAAAAUAAAUUGGAAGCCAUACCAAUUUCAUAAACCCUAAUUUCAAAAAUAUGGAAGAGACAAGGGGGAAAGUGACGUGUAACCGAAAGGAAAAAGUUUUAAUCAACAAAAAUAAUGUUAAACGAUUAAGGGAAAAAAAGAAUAGAAUGUUUUACCUUUUGAAGCGGGGUGGAGAGAAACAGGCGAAGAAUUUCCAGCCAAAAAUUAGGCUCAAACUAAACGUUAACUGAUUUUAAUAAUUUGGAGGGAUUGGGGAAGAAAUAAAGGGAUGUGGGAAAUUGGAGAUUUCGAUUAGAAAGGGAUUUGGGAAGUUGGGAAAUUGAGGAAAAGAAAUUGGGGAAGAAUAGUUUAGGGAUUUUGAUCAGAAGUUGGGAAAUUGGGGAAAAGAAAUUGGGGAAAUCUAAUUUGGGGGAAAACCUAAAGGAAUUUCGGGUCUAAU